rnacentral:rRNA from 1 species
AUAGCGUAUAUUAAAGUUGUUGUGGUUAAAAAGCUCGUAGUUGAACCUUGGGCCUGGCUGGCCGGUCCCCCUCACCGGGUGCACUGAUCCAGCCGGGUCUUUCCCGCUGUGGAACCCCAUGGCCUUCACUGGUCGUGGCGGGGAAACAGGACUUUUACUUUGAAAAAAUUAGAGUGCUCCAGGCAGGCCUAUGCUCGAAUACAUUAGCAUGGAAUAAUAGAAUAGGACUUUGGUUCUAUUUUGUUGGUUUCUAGGACCGAAGUAAUGAUUAAUAGGGAUAGUUGGGGGCAUUAGUAUUUAAUUGUCAGAGGUGAAAUUCUUGGAUUUAUUAAAGACUAACUUCUG